ACGGGGAUAAGUCAAUUGGCUAGACGUGCGGCCCCCAAAGCCGUUUAUCCAGGUUCAAGCCCUGGUUCCCGUG
rnacentral:tRNA from 1 species